GAACGCUGGCGGCGUGCUUAACACAUGCAAGUCGAGCGGAAAGGCCCUUCGGGGUACUCGAGCGGCGAACGGGUGAGUAACACGUGAGCAACCUGCCCUAGGCUUUGGGAUAACCCCGGGAAACCGGGGCUAAUACCGAAUAUUACCUCCGAUCGCAUGGUUGGUGGUGGAAAGUUUUUCGGCCUGGGAUGGGCUCGCGGCCUAUCAGCUUGUUGGUGGGGUGAUGGCCUACCAAGGCGACGACGGGUAGCCGGCCUGAGAGGGCGACCGGCCACACUGGGACUGAGACACGGCCCAGACUCCUACGGGAGGCAGCAGUGGGGAAUAUUGCACAAUGGGCGGAAGCCUGAUGCAGCGACGCCGCGUGAGGGAUGACGGCCUUCGGGUUGUAAACCUCUUUCAGCAGGGACGAAGCGUAAGUGACGGUACCUGCAGAAGAAGCGCCGGCCAACUACGUGCCAGCAGCCGCGGUAAGACGUAGGGCGCGAGCGUUGUCCGGAUUUAUUGGGCGUAAAGAGCUCGUAGGCGGC
rnacentral:rRNA from 1 species